rnacentral:pre_miRNA from 1 species
UCUUAUGGAUGAGCAAAGAAAGUGGUUUCUUGAGAUGGAAUCUAACCCUGGUGAAGAUGCUGUGAA